rnacentral:rRNA from 1 species
AAUACGACCGUACCGCAAACCGACACUGGUGCGCGAGAUGAGUAUUCUAAGGCGCUUGAGAGAACUCAGGAGAAGGAACUCGGCAAAUUGACACCGUAACUUCGGAAGAAGGUGUGCCCUAUAGUGUGUAGUGAACAACGAAGCAUGAAUGGGUCGCAAAAAAUCGGUGGCUGCGACUGUUUAUUAAAAACACAGCACUCUGCAAACACGAAAGUGGACGUAUAGGGUGUGACGCCUGCCCGGUGCUGGAAGAUUAAAUGAUGGGGUGCAAGCUCUUGAUUGAAGUCCCAGUAAACGGCGGCCGUAACAAUAACGGUCCUAAGGUAGCGAAAUUCCUUGUCGGGUAAGUUCCGACCUGCACGAAUGGCGUAACGAUGGCCACACUGUCUCCUCCUGAGACUCAGCGAAGUUGAAAUGUUUGUGAUGAUGCAAUCUCCCCGCGGAAAGACGGAAAGACCCCAUGAACCUUUACUGUAGCUUUGUAUUGGACUUUGAACAGAUCUGUGUAGGAUAGGUGGGAGGCUUUGAAGCAGGGUCGCUAGAUCUUGUGGAGCCAACGUUGAAAUACCACCCUGGUGUGUUUGAGGUUCUAACCUAGGUCCAUUAUCUGGAUCGGGGACAGUGCAUGGUAGGCAGUUUGACUGGGGCGGUCUCCUCCCAAAGCGUAACGGAGGAGUUCGAAGGUACGCUAGUUACGGUCGGACAUCGUGACGAUAGUGCAAUGGCAUAAGCGUGCUUAACUGCGAGACUGACAAGUCGAGCAGAUGCGAAAGCAGGACAUAGUGAUCCGGUGGUUCUGUAUGGAAGGGCCAUCGCUCAACGGAUAAAAGGUACUCUGGGGAUAACAGGCUGAUACCGCCCAAGAGUUCAUAUCGACGGCGGUGUUUGGCACCUCGAUGUCGGCUCAUCUCAUCCUGGGGCUGUAGCCGGUCCCAAGGGUAUGGCUGUUCGCCAUUUAAAGAGGUACGUGAGCUGGGUUUAAAACGUCGUGAGACAGUUUGGUCCCUAUCUUCCGUGGGCGCUGCAGAUUUGAGGAAGCCUGCUCCUAGUACGAGAGGACCGGAGUGGACACACCUCUGGUGUAUCGGUUGUCACGCCAGUGGCAUUGCCGAGUAGCUAAGUGUGGAAGAGAUAACCGCUGAAAGCAUCUAAGCGGGAAACUCGUUUCAAGAUGAGAUCUGCCGGGGCCUUGAGCCCCCUAAAGAGUCGUUCAAGACCAGGACGUUGAUAGGUCAGGUGUGGAA